rnacentral:rRNA from 1 species
CCCGCUGAACUUAAGCAUAUCAAUAAGCGGAGGAAAAGAAACUAACAAGGAUUCCCCUAGUAACUGCGAGUGAAGCGGGAAAAGCUCAAAUUUAAAAUCUGGCGGUCUUUGGCUGUCUGAGUUGUAAUCUAGAGAAGUGUUAUCCGCGCUGGACCGUGUACAAGUCUCCUGGAAUGGAGCAUCAUAGAGGGUGAGAAUCCCGUCUUUGACAUGGACUGCCAGGGCUUUGUGAUGCGCUCUCAAAGAGUCGAGUUGUUUGGGAAUGCAGCUCAAAAUGGGUGGUAAAUUCCAUCUAAAGCUAAAUAUUGGCGAGAGACCGAUAGCGAACAAGUACCGUGAGGGAAAGAUGAAAAGAACUUUGGAAAGAGAGUUAAACAGUACGUGAAAUUGCUGAAAGGGAAACGCUUGAAGUCAGUCGCGUCGUCCAGGGAUCAACCUUGCUUUUGCUUGGUGCACUUUCUGGUUCGAUGGGUCAGCAUCAAUUUUGACUGUUGGAAAAAGGUCAAGGGAAUGUGGCAUCUUUGGAUGUGUUAUAGCCCUUGGUCACAUACAAUGGUUGGGAUUGAGGAACUCAGCACGCCGCAAGGCCGGGUUUUAAACCACGUACGUGCUUAGGAUGCUGGCAAUAUGGCUUUAAUCGACCCGUCUUGAAACACGG